UCUCUCGUUCUUUCUUUCUCUUUGCUUUUUCCGACCGCUGUAAAAAUUUACCAUUUCCAGUUAGCGUUUGGGCACACUGAGGCCACUGGACUGGAGUUCAUCUUUGGCAGUGGUUUGUGGUGCUAUCUUUUAGUGGUCUUUUUAUUUCGCAGAGGAAUGGCUCUGAUUGAGGCCUUGGGAAGAAGAUCAAGCGGGUAGCGACCUGCAGCUGCAAUGACCUCAGGGUCCUUCCUCCUAUCUGAGUCCUAACCCCCCCGCCUGCCCAGUGUUCAGACUACCUGUUCAUCAGGCUACAGCUGAACAGUAGUCUGCACAUUGGUUAGGCUGGGCUGGGACGCACACACCUCAAAACUACAGUGGCUGAUGGCACCAAACCUCCACUUGGGAUAGUUCAUCCCAGCGGUGCCAAAGACAGACAGGGACUCAGCAGUCAGGACAAACCAGUACUCCUUGGAGCCUCCCUUCAUGAUGCUGAUGUUGAUGGUUAGCCAGCCUUUCCUAAUCACC